rnacentral:rRNA from 1 species
GAUAAACGCUGGCGGCGCACAUAAGACAUGCAAGUUGAACGGACUUAAUCGAAAUAUUUAUAUUUUGAAGCGGUUAGUGGCGGACUGGUGAGUAACGCGUAAGGAACCUGCCUAUUAGAGGGGAAUAAGAGUGAGAAAUCAUUGCUAAUACCGCAUAUGCCAUAGAUAUCACAUGAUAACAGUGGGAAAGGAGCAAUCCGCUAAUAGAUGGCCUUGCGUCUGAUUAGAUAGUUGGUGGGGUAACGGCCUACCAAGUCGACGAUCAGUAGCCGGACUGAGAGGUUGAACGGCCACAUUGGGACUGAGAUACGGCCCAGACUCCUACGGGAGACAGCAGUCGGGAAUAUUGCGCAAUGGAGGAAACUCUGACGCAGUGACGCCGCGUAUAGGAAGAAGGUUUUCGGAUUGUAAACUAUUGUCGUUAGGGAAGAGAAAGGACAGUACCUAAGGAGGAAGCUCCGGCUAACUACGUG